rnacentral:rRNA from 1 species
CGCGUAGGCGGCUUAUCAAGUCAGGGGUGAAAUCCCGGGGCUCAACCCCGGAACUGCCCUUGAAACUGGUUGGCUAGAAUCCUGGAGAGGCGAGUGGAAUUCCGAGUGUAGAGGUGAAAUUCGUAGACAUUCGGAAGAACACCAGUGGCGAAGGCGACUCGCUGGACAGGUAUUGACGCUGAGGUGCGAAAGCGUGGGGAGCAAACA